rnacentral:lncRNA from 1 species
AGCUAUAAGUUUGUUUUUUGUUGAUAAAAAUCACAAAUCAAAGUUGUUAGUUCCUAGAAAAAGAUAUUUAACAGCAAUAAGUUUUCUUUACAAUAUAUUCAAACGAAUAAUAAAAUGCAUAUACAUGCAGUAUAAAAAGAAAAUCUACUUAGUGAGACCAAACCGUAUACCAUUGCCAAUUGAACAAAUUGACAAAGAAAAGAAAAAAGUAUUUCUAAUUGGCCACAAGCAAAAUGAUUCUAGACUUUCAAUGACUAAUAGCAUCAGAGAGCUCCAGCUUCAUUCAGACUCCCAUCUCGUUCCCGUGAAAGGUUGAAAGCAAAUACCUAUCCAGCAGUGAACGACGGGUUUUGAAAAACUUCUCUAUAGACAAAACUCCAAGUUAAAAGCUACAGACAAAAAGCAAUGUCAUAAACCAGAUUACCAAACAUUUGAACAAAAAAAUCCUCAAGAAAAUAUCAUAGGAAUUUGAAUUUCUAUGGAACACUUAAUUCUGAUCAGAAAUAUCAAAUUUUGGAAAAAAAAAAAAACAAUUUAUACCAACUUAUAAUAAUAGUCCGAAAGUCAAAAUAAGCAAAUAAAUAAGUAAAAGGACAAGACAGUAUCUCAGGAGAAACCAAAAGCAACGAUAUCUGACAAAAUUUCUUGAUGAUAUUAAUGCAACUAACCCAUGAGCAUCUUCACACUUCUACUUUUAAUGUUCUAAACAAAAGAAAAGGAAUAUCUCAAGAAUCGAAAAAGCAACAAAGACAAUCUUAACCAAAGCCAGCAAGAAUAAUUAAACCCAACAGGAUAAUGCAUCAUCAGUGGAACAGUUAAAUGAAAUAAAACUUGGCUCUUCAGACAUAUUCAAAGUGGAAUACAUUUGAAAUUAUUCUACCUAAAACAAUAGUAGAAAUCCAAUUUUACUCUCAAGCUCUUACCAUCUAUAAUGAGUCGAUCAAAAUCCAAUUUUUCAAUCAUUCUAAUAACUAAUUCUACAAUUUUGACAAAAAAAAUAAUAACUAAUUCUACAACCAAAAAUGCAACUCACACAAAUUUUUCUCCAAAAAAAAUCGCAUAGGACUAUGUAAUUUUAUUAUUUCUUCUUAAAACGAGUAUCUCCUUGAUCAGUUCCAGUGCUUUUAUCAGCAACUAAGAAAACACAACGUUUGUCGAAAAAAACAGCUAAGAAAACACAAAAGUAUUUUUUUUCUUUUGUUUUAAAGAAUCCAUAUACACUAUCCGGAAAAUGAGAACCAAAACUUCACAAAAGGAAAAAAUAAGAAAAAUAGUUUUCUCAAAAAUAAAGACACGAAAAAAAUAACUAAAGUUUUUAACAGUCAUUGACAUGAAAUUUGAUCUCCACAAAUGGAGACUUUGGGCUGGUUACCAUAUGGAUCGUCUUUUGUGAGUCAAUAAUUGAACGUACCCCUACACAUAACAAACCAAAAAAAAAGAAAAAAAAUCAUCAUAUGAACCAUGAAAACUUCAUUUUCCAGAGUUUGUCGACAAGCUUUUCCUUCAAUUUCUCUACCGAGUAAUUUUUCCAUAUAUAAUAAAUAUCAUACAAGUUUGUACAGAGGGUUCUAGAGACCCAAAAGAAAGAAACAAGUAACAUAGAAACUACUUAAAAAAGAGUACAAAAGUUAAAAAAAUAAAAAAAAUAAAAUAGAGAAAACCCGAGAUGAAAAAGGACGAAACCUAAGGAAGCAAAAUUGCUCGCAAUGUUUCUCGGUGAUGAUCUUCUCUUGGCUACAUCUGUCUUGUGAGAAAGCAUGGAUAAAAAAAUAAGGAACAAUAUAAGCAAAAUUUAUAUAUUAACCAAGUGAAAAUUUUUGGGGAAUAAAAUCAAUAAAUAUAGAAAGGAAAUAAAGAUUAAGAAGCAACAAAGAACCAGAUAGUUUGAAAAAAGAUUCUACAAAUUCCCUUGCUUCUGGAGCUAAAGAAUAUCAAGCAGAGAGAGAAGAUCUGAAACAACCUUAUUAUCUUACAAAGGGGGGAAAAAAUUACAACAAGCCACAAUGUUAGACAACUAAACUGGAGAAAAAAAAGGAAAAAAGGCUAGAGACGUUUAGGCAGGGGAGGAAAGAACAAACCCUUUAAGCAAUGAGAAUAAUCUUCUUGGACUAUUUAUAUGAAAAACCGUAGGCAAGACACAUUGCAAAAGAUUUCCCAUAUCUGAACCUGCAAUAU